rnacentral:rRNA from 1 species
AUUGAACGCUGGCGGCAGGCCUAACACAUGCAAGUCGAACGAGUGGCGGACGGGGGAGGAAUGUCUGGGAAACUGCCCGAUGGAGGGGGAUAAAUACUGGAAACGGUAGCUAAUACCGCCAACCAUCGGAUGUGCCCAGAUUGGAUUAGCUUGUAGGUGAGGUAACGGCUCAACUAGGCGCCGAUCCCUAGCUGGGCCGAGAUGAUGACCAGCCACACUGGACCUGAGACACGGUCCAGACUCCUACGGUGGGCAGCAGUUGGGAAUAUUGCACAAUGGGCGCAAGCCUGAUGCGGCCAUGCCGCGUGUAUGAAGAAGGCCUUCGGGUUGUAAAGUACUUUCAGCGGGGAGGCGUUACCCGCCGAAGAAGCACCGGCUAACUCCGUGCCAGCAGCCGCGGUAAUAC